UACGGGGGGAGCAAGCGUUGUUCGGAUUUACUGGGCGUAAAGGGCGCGUAGGCGGCGAAUCAAGUCAGCUGUGAAAUCUCCGAGCUUAACUCGGAACGGUCAGCUGAUACUGUUUUGCUAGAGUGCAGAAAGGGCAACCGGAAUUCUUGGUGUAGCGGUGAAAUGCGUAGAUAUCAAGAGGAACACCUGAGGCGAAGGCGGGUUGCUAGGCUGACACUGACGCUGAAGCGCGAAGGCUAGGGUAGCAAACGGG
rnacentral:rRNA from 1 species